GGCUGGUCCGAAGGUAGUGAGUUAUCUCACUUGAUUGUUCACAGUCAGUUACAGAUUGAACUCCUUGUUCUACUACUUUUCCCCCUCCUCACUACUGCACUUGACUAGUCUAAA
rnacentral:Y_RNA from 1 species